GACGAACCGUGCGAACGUUAUUCGGAAUCACUGGGCUUAAAGCGCGUGUAGGCGGGACGGCACGUCGGUCGCUGAAAUCCCCCGGCUUAACCGGGGAACUGGCGGCGAUACGACCGUCCUCGAGGGGCGUAGGGGGACCUGGAACUUCCGGUGGAGCGGUGAAAUGCGUUGAGAUCGGAAGGAACGCCCGUGGCGAAAGCGAGGUCCUGGACGCCUACUGACGCUGAGACGCGAAAGCCAGGGGAGCGAACGGG
rnacentral:rRNA from 1 species